rnacentral:piRNA from 1 species
UCCAGUCAUUCGAUUCUCAUAGGUUCUGCC